AAUGGAACAAGUAGAUGACAAAGCACAACAUAACCCUUUUGUUGCUCAUCUUUUUGUAGAUAUGCAGGCUUUUAAAGCACCCUGCUUACCUGUUCCCUCUUACUACAUUUAAAUUAUUUAAUUAUUCAAUUCUUUACCAUGAAUUAAUAAAUAAAGUGGGGCAAUCAACAAAUUAAUGUAUUUUUGGGGCACCCUACCCUCUUGGAGCCCAAUUGGGCAUCCUUUCCUUGUCUGGUGCAUAUUGUUUGCUUCCAAACCUGUCUCUAAGUGUCUACAAAAAAACAGCAAUCUCUGGUCAUUAAUUGUUUUUACCUUUUGGGAAAAUUUUGAGAAUUAUAAUUAGCUUUAAAUUGGAAAUUUUCUAAAGGUAGUGGGGGUAGUUUCGAUCGGAACUAGAAUGCUACUCCUGAUUCGUAUGCC
rnacentral:lncRNA from 1 species